AAAAUGCGAUACGUCAUGUGAAUUGCAGAGCACGGCGAAUCAUCGAAUCUUUGAACGCACAUUGCGCCCCGAAGGCCAAGGUCUUCUGGGCACAUCUGUUCGAGUGCCACAAACAAUAAUGUUUCCCUCUCUUCCGAAAGGUAAAAGAGAAGGGUCAAAAUGGAAUCCUGAAUGUCAUUGUGCAUCAGCUUUCUUCAGCACAUAGAGCACAGCAGCGAACAGCGAUUGGACUCCAUGCAAUUAUGUCAUGGUGACAUGCUGAGAAUACAAUUGAGACUUUCGAUAUUGUUCAAAUUCUCAACUUCCCUUCAUAGCUGUAUGAUUAUGUUCUUCUAAAGGAAAACCAAUCUUUUUUAAAGUUGGAACAAUUCAUUGGCCUCGAAUCAGAUGGGGUUACCCGCUGAAUUUAA
rnacentral:misc_RNA from 1 species